UAGAGGAGGUCGUGAGCGGAGGUAGCGGCAUUCAUAAAGCGGCAUUGGCGGCGUACGCACUCACGUGUUCCACACAGCCGAUGUAGACUGCCUGACCGUGUCAGCACUUCGGUCUCGCGGCAGCUGGUGACCAGGUGUCUCAAGAAAAUUAUCCCUGCUCUGCACCAAGUCAUUUGCACUUCUGCAAACGAUGAACUUGCCUGCACCUGACCUUGCAUGAUGCUCAGUGCCCGUUUGUCAUCCCAGAUAUGUAGCCCUUGCCGUCCGGUGCACAUCAAGGUAUGUUCAACCUGCGCUGCAGUCGAUGACAUCCAGCACUCACGGCAGUGCUGCCUCCUUUCACGCUAGCACUACUCCAGAAGGAACUGCACUGCCGCAAGCAGUCCCAGAAGACGGCUUGAUGGCGUCGUGAUGCAAUUUGCUCAUCGUGCGGCCCCCGCUGCAGUUAUUCCUUCUACCAUAGGUGUUCGGAAACUUCCUGGGUAACAUGCUGUUCUCUCAAGUUCUAUAACUUGCCUCUAGCAUUGGUUUCAUAUAAGCAUUAUUGCUUUACUAAUUGGCAUUACUUCACUCUGUGCUUUUAGAAUGGUACGCUGGGCCUAAUUUCUGUUGUGAAGCUCUGCGCAUGCUCUUGUGUAUUUGCAUGCGCAUGUCCGUGCUGCGUGUGUUGUUCUUGCAUGCAUUCUGCGUUCAUUUCAUCCGAUUCGAUUUUUGUUUUCGGGAGGAGCGCUUCCAAUGGCAGGUCUGGGUUUUGGAAACUCCUGCGACAUGUGCACUGGACACCUUGCUCAUUUGUGGGGUGCCCAGUUCUCCAAUUUCGAGCUAGGGUCCUGUUUCUAAACUUGUUUUGGAAUUCCAUUGUUAUCGCUUUCUUAUCCCGAACCGUUUAUUCUUUCAAGUGGUUCAUCAUCGUUGAGCAUGCAAAACGGCAUCAGCGUACCAUUACCAAGAAGCACAUAGUGUAAUUUGGAUGUUAAAACUAGGUGGGCUUGUUACUUGCACCUGCUGUGGCAACAUAGCAGUGUGCUAGUCUCUCUUCAGUCCUGGGAGGUUGUUCUUUAUGCACUUGUUGCACAUUGUGUGCUUGAUUCCCUGUGUAAAUUCACUUUUUAAAUAUUUCCGUCACAUGUAAUAGCUUUAUGAUGUUCAGCACUGGACCUAAAUAAAACAACGUUAUUUUCUUUUUGUGCCAUUCUUGUACUGUUACAUAGGUAGUGAUGUUUGCUUUCCAACAAUAACUGUCCUGUUGCUUGAAAUGUACAAAUAUGUGAAAAAUAAAACCUACAUUUCCUUUGUGA
rnacentral:lncRNA from 1 species